CAGAAAUGGGAGUUCCUUGCAGCCCAAAGCGCCAAGUGAGAAUUCUACUGGCAAAUUAUGUUUUGGACUGAAGGGAGCUCCCAGUUCUU
rfam:Medicago truncatula strain A17 chromosome 2, whole genome shotgun sequence.